GGAUUCCCCUAGUAACUGCGAGUGAAGCGGGAAAAGCUCAAAUUUAAAAUCUGGUGGUCUUUGGCCAUCCGAGUUGUAGUCUGGAGAAGCGUCUUCCGCGUUGGACCGUGUAAAAGUUUCUUGGAAUAGAACAUCAUAGAGGGUGAGAAUCCCGUCUUUGACACGGACUACCAGUGCUUUGUGAUGCGCUCUCAAAGAGUCGUGUUGUUUGGGAAUGCAGCACAAAAUGGGUGGUAUAUUCCAUCUAAAGCUAAAUAUUGGCGAGAGACCGAUAGCGAACAAGUACCGUGAGGGAAAGAUGAAAAGCACUUUGGAAAGAGAGUUAAACAGUACGUGAAAUUGUUGAAAGGGAAACGCUUGAAGUCAGUCGCGUUGGCCGGGACUCAGCCUUGCUCUUUUGCUUGGUGUAUUUCCUGGUUUGACGGGCCAGCAUCGAUUUUGACCGUUGGAUAAAGUUCAAAGGAAUGUGGCACCUCCGGGUGUGUUAUAGCCUUUGUUCGCAUGCAACGGUUGGGAUCGAGGAUCGCAGCACGCCUUUAUUGGCCGGGGUUCGCCCACGUACGUGCUUAAGAUGCUGGCGUAGUGGCUUUAAACGACCCGUCUUGAAACACGGACCAGGGAGUCUAACAUGCCCGCGAGUGUUUGGGUGCAAAACCCAUGCGCGUAAUGAAAGUGAAAGUUGAGACCUCUGUCAUGGAGGGCAUCGACGCCCGGUCUUGAGCUUUGGCGACGGAUCAGAGGUUGAGCGUGUAUGUUGAGACCCGAAAGAUGGUGAACUAUGCCUGAAUAGGGUGAAGCCAGAAGAAACUCUGGUGGAGGCUCGUAGCGAUUCUGACGUGCAAAUCGAUCGUCAAAUUUGGGUAUAGG
rnacentral:rRNA from 1 species